CAACUCUUAUCUGCGCUUAUGAACGCGCCUCGUCUUGCAGCCGCUAUCAGCCUUUGACCGCGUGUCGCCGCGAGCAGAGACUCUAGAAACAAGCGCCCAGUGCAGCGGACCUUCAUGCUACGACAUGGACCUGGCCGGCUGGGCCAUGGGGAAGGCAGGAUAGUGCUGGUCUUCGAGAGCACCGAUGACUCUGAGCCUGAGAGAAGUGGCGACGAUGCCCCAUUCACUUGGAGCGAGGCAACCAAGAGCGUCUGCUGCUAUCCGCUGAAGGUCUUCCUGCCGAGGGAAGCUGGCCGGCCGAGCUGCCGCUGGGUCUACCCGGUCGUGUUUGGCGGUGGCCUUGUGAGUGGAGACGCCACCCACAUUGACGUCACCGCGACCGUCGGAACAUGCGUGCUGCUCACGAGCCAGUCGUAUCCUAAGGUCUACCAGUCGAAGCCCGGGGAGUCGUCGGUGCAGCACUGUACCUACACUGUGCAAGAUGGCGCUUUGCUCUGUGUGCUGCCCGACAUCACGGCGUGCUUUGCGGACGCCUGCUUUGACCAAACACAAACAGCGCAUCUCUCGGCCGCGGCCAACGUCGUCCUGCUCGACUGGUACCUCGCUGGACGCGUGGCCAACGGCGAACGGUGGGCACUGACCAGGCUGGCGUCGACAAUCACUGUCCUCGUGGAAAGCGAGCUGGUUCUCCGUGAAGCCGUCGACAUGGCUACCAUCGCGGGCUUGUCUCUCCAGCAGUCCAUGGGCUCCUACGAUGUCACUGGUGUCUGCGUGUUACUGGGUCCUUACUUGGUGCCACUGGCGGCUAGCAUCUGCACGCAGCUCGAGAGGCGCGAACAGUAUGGCCUACUCAAAGAUUGGGGAGCUUCUUGAGCCGCUCUUCUUCGUGCUUGGUGGAAAUCCCUUCGCACUGAAACACUGAGACUAUUGGGCAGCGCCGUACAACGCCGUGUUGAACGUCGGCCGCCGGGCUUCCAUGCGGAGAAGUUGGAUGGGUGCCGGCGGAUGGUGGUGGCCGGCCUCUCGGUGCAGCAACGAAGUGGAGCGGUACAAAAAGCGGUCGCAAGAAUCGCUGAAAAGAGGCGACAGUUGCACGCACCGCCUUUAGCAACAAAAAACAAAAAACAAUCAAACAAACAAGUAAAUAAAUAAGUAAAUACAUAAAUAAAGAAACGCU
rnacentral:misc_RNA from 1 species